CUACGUCAUCCCCGCCAUAACGCGCUGGCAACAUGAGACAAGGGUUGCGCUCGUUGCGGGACUUAACCCAACAUCUCACGACAUGAGCUGACGACAGCCAUGCACCACCUGCACACAGGCCACAAGGGAAUACCUAUCUCUAGGCACGUCCUGUGCAUGUCAAACCCAGGUAAGGUUCUUCGCGUUGCAUCGAAUUAAUCCACAUGCUCCGCCGCUUGUGCGGGCCCCCGUCAAUUUCUUUGAGUUUUAGCCUUGCGGCCGUACUCCCCAGGCGGGGCACUUAAUGCGUUAGCGCCGGCACUCGGAGGGUCGCUCCCCCAAGCACCUAGUGCCCAUCGUUUACGGCGUGGACUAC
rnacentral:misc_RNA from 1 species